rnacentral:rRNA from 1 species
UUGUUAAGGUAGCAUAGUAAUUAGUUUCUUAAUUGGAAAAUAGAAUGAAUGAUUUUAUGAGGUAUAAGAAUUUAAUUUAUUUCAGCAAAAUUUUAUUUCAAAUGAAAAUAUUUGAAUAUUUUAAUUAGACAAAAAGACCCUAUGAAACUAAGAAUUAAUUAUUAAUCUAAAAUACUUAAAAAGUUCUUUUUUUGGGGUAAAAUUUAACUUUUUUAUUAAUAUUUUUUUAUUAAUUGAUCCUAAUUUGAUAAAAUGAAGUAGUUCCUCUAGGGAUAACAGCAUAA